rnacentral:lncRNA from 1 species
AUCAUCGCUCCAUCAUCAAGAUAUACUAUAUCUUAUUGUACCUGUUACACACGUGCUACCUGAAUAUCCAUGCUUCUUUGUUGAUUGUUUACAAACGGGUGACCAUCGUUAAACUUUGGCCUCAAAGCACCACCAUUAAUUAGCUGCCAUAUGUUCACAACACUGACCGAUUGAAAUUUUUUGGACGAUUAUAUGAAUUAUAAGAACAAACCACAAUUUUCUAUAUACCAGCAAUACCCGAUUGAAAUAAAAGACAGGCGUAAAAAACUCAUUCCGAAAAUUAAGGAAUUCAACCGGCAAAGACGAAACGCAAAGUUAGUGUACGAAGUACUCCUGGUAGAUAGUGAAGUAUACACCCAUCGUGAAUCCCCGCCUACAAUUCCAGGUCAACCGUUACCCAAUAAUGGUGGAGAUUAUUAGGACAACGCAUCAGACAUUGAUUACGGUCAUUUAACUGACAAUCAUAAUACUUUGUAAAUAACCUUUCUAAAUGUAUGUGGUAUCAAAUGAAAACUUUUAAAUCCAGAUUUUGAUGUAUUGAUUAAAAAUUAGGAUAUUCUGA